AAAUAAAAAUUUAAAUCAUGUGUGUAGUUUAGCGGAAUUAGCAUGUGUGUUUUAGCGGAGUUAGCAUGUGUGUAGGCCUGUCCGCCAUUGUUAGCACACAGCACGAGACAGGCCAGGGUGACGGAAUAAUUAGCAGUUAGCAUCCACUAGCAUCCCAUAGCUAGCCAGCACACUGGGUUAUGUGGUUCUUCAGGGCACAUAACCCACACAAAACACCACAGGAACGUCACAGGAAAAUAGAAAUUAACCAAAUUCGGAUUUAAAAGUCAGAAUGCGACACCGAGCCGGAGUUACAGAGGGAAGAGCUGGGGCAGCUUACCAGGCGCAGUCUGUCCGUUCACCGUCACCGAGUUGAGCUUCUUGGUCCAGGGGUUGACUUUGGGCGGAGGCGCCUCUCUGAACUCCUUCUUCUCCUGCAGGCUGCUCUCCUCCCCGGCCUGCUUCGAGCUCAGCUCUGGGGUGAGCGCUCCGUGUCCGGCGGGCGGCUGGAGGUCCUCCUCCUCCUGCAGAAGCGGGGUCGCGGUGGUGUGCAGGAGAGUCUCCACCUGAGUGGCCAUGUCUCCGUUCCUCCUUUCCCCCAACGUGAACGUGCUCUCCAAAUUAAACCACACAAAAAAGUCCCUCUUCUGUGCGUCUCUUCCCUCACUCCUGCUCCUCUCCGCUCCACUCGACUUCGCUCUGAGCCGCACAGUGACGGAUUCUCAUUAAAACAUGUAAAAUGUUGUAAAAAAAAA